rnacentral:rRNA from 1 species
UACGUAGGUGGCAAGCGUUGUCCGGAUUUACUGGGCGUAAAGGGCGUGCAGGCGGUUUGUUAAGUGCAGGGUGAAAGCUCCCGGCUCAACUGGGAGAGGUCCUUGCAUACUGGCAAACUCGAGGGAGGCAGAGGAAAGUGGAAUUCCCGGUGUAGUGGUGAUAUGCGUAGAUAUCGGGAGGAACACCGGUGGCGAAGGCG